GAGGGAGAGGGGAUGGGAUGGGGAGGAGCCGCCCCGAGGCGCCCGCCGGCAGUGGCGGCUGGGGCCGGGCGCGGGAGAGGGGCACCGGAGCGCUCUGCCUGGGUCUGCCCGGCGCCUUCCCUCCCGGGCCCCAGGGCACAUCCCCGCGGGUGCCUUCCCAGCCCGGUGCCCGCUUCCCUUCCCCGCUGGUGCCGCCAGUUCCACGCCGGGCUGAUGCUCCCUAUGACAGUCCCCGACUGGAUUAGAGGCGGACAGACCCCCUCGUGGGUUGGGCUUGUCUGCCCCGGGGGUCUGUAGUGCUCUUCAACUGGUGUGAACAGGAUGGGGUGCAGUGCUUUUUAUGUCUCGUGUCUGGACUGUCUUAUAGUAGUCUGUACCAGGAAUUCCUGAGAAAUCAGCUAAACCUGUGCAGGGAUGAGGUGUCAAGUGAGCGUCGCUGAGAAAGGAGCCGCACCUAGGAAAGAGUUCGAGGAGACAAUGUUGGGACUCUUCAUCCUGACGUCUGCAGUGGGGAAGGUACCAGUGCAGGUGUGAGGCAACCAGCAUUGGUUGUGACCUGAUCAGGCUCAUCACUCAGAAGGGGUGCUUGUCACUUUUCACCGUGACACACUGGGCAGCCAUGCAGUUACAGUCAGUACCUGCUUUGUACUGAAACCUGAAUGGAUGACAAAAGUGUUUCCCCAGGCCACCUGUUUUGUAUUCGUGUACGUUCAUUGCAGUCUCCAAUUUUUUUGGCUAUAUUGCUCAUAGGGAUAAUGAUGCUCUCAGAGUCCUGAUGCUUUGAGCAGAAGGUGCAGGAGAAAGAUGGCAUGGAAAGAGAAAGAAAUCACAAUCUCCCUUGGAGCAACUUCUGCAUGAUGAAAAAAGAUAUGGUGGUGGAAGAUGCUGGUACUGAAAGACUUCUGCUUAGAGGGUGUAUCUCCUGUGAUUGGCAUAACUUGUUAACAAGAGCACAGUCAGAGCUUUCCCAAGGACUUCUUUGGUGCUGUGUGAAAAGUCUUCCAGGUUGUUGGCAGAAGUGCAUUUCUCUUCAUCAGAGAUACUUUGCUCAGUGUUUGUGACUGCCAGUGAAGUCUGUCCUUUAGUUGUAUACUGGAGAGGGAAGUUCUCGUAGCCUGGCUCAGCUAGCAGGCUUUCAAUCCGAGGACCAGUGCAGGCAGUUUGAUUCCUUGUGUUUGAACAUGAUGUAUGCAGGAUGUGGAUUGAAAAACAUUGAGAACACCAAGUGAAUCAUAAGAUCCUUUUGUCUGUUGAGCUUUCUGCACAAGGGAGUCGGUUUCGUAGAAAAUAGCUAGCUAUGCAGAAGGGCAAGGAAAAAUGGAGUACUUGAACCUGCUGAUGGCCUGUGUGAGAAACACAUCAAAAGCUGCCACUGUGGUCCUUAUAAAUAAUAAAUAAAAGGUUGAAUAAAAGGCUUUUCAGUGAAGUUCUGAUACUGGUGUUCAUCCUAGUGGUGCUUCCUGUUGCUCAAGACAAGACACCUUGUCUUUGAGGAGUACCAAGGCUGGGUUUCUUUGCACUUACCUAUGCUUUCAUUCAGUCUGGGAGGCAGGAAGUACUUUCUUUCUCUUGGCAAUUCUUAGCAACCUUAUCCCAGCUUCUUCAGACUUCUUGGUCUGGAGUAGAGUCCUGAUUAAGUGACUGUUCUUACAAGCUUGUCAGCUCAGUUUCUCCUACGCUGUCGCAGCACAACUUGGGCUUAUUUUGGAAAGCACAACUUCCUUGAAGCACUGGGUGGAUGACGGCACAAGAGCAAGGUGGCAGCGUGGUCAGUCUCUGGCUUCCUCUUUCACAGGUGUAUGUUCUCUCUUGCUCUAAAUCUCUUCUUGCUACUUUGAUUGCUUUUUAGCCAAGUGAGCAAAAUAAAAAUAUUUUCUUUCUCUUUAAUAUUUUUGUCACCUCCUGCCUCUUUCAUAUGAAUCCACUGAUUAUUUUUUCAGAACCUCAGCUAAGGAAUUCCUCUGGGUUGUGUGUAUUUGAUCUGGAGGAUGCAGUUAUGUCAGUUUUUCAGUUAAGCAAAACCACAGAAGGUGAGGUGAAAGAGUGGAAGUCUCUCCAGUUUCCUGUUCCUAUUACUCGAAGGCCUUAUGGCUUGUUCCUUUUGAGGGUGUUCACAGGCUUUACAACCUAAAUCCACAAUGAAGCUUUUGUAAAGGCUGCCAAACAAAUUGAUCUGAACUGGCUUAUCUUUUGGCACCUGUGUUUUCACAUGUGUUAAGCAACUGAAUUUCCUCAUAUACAACUUGAAUGUUGUAACAAUUUUAAUUUAGUCACAAAUGUAUGCAAAUCAGUAUACCAAAGACAGGUUUCCUUUUUCAGGAGUGUUUCUUGUUAAAGUCUCAUUAUUGUCUUUUUUUUUCAAUGGGAAAUAUGAAUUUUUCCUUGUAACUCAGUGUCAUUUGACAGUAAGAAAAGUGUAAAAACACAUUCAUUGAUUUUGAUAUGGUUGUAGUUAGUUCAGUGAAGAACAUUAGAUACUGUGUACCGUGAGACAACUCCAUUUUGAUGAAUAAUGGUGCAUUUGCACAAGUCAAAGUUACUUGUGAUGUUGUCAGCUACUUCAUUACAAUGCUUAGCUAAGCCCACUGGUCCAACGUGUGUGUCAGCUGCAAAGUGGUGCUUGCCUUGGAUGUGGAAUGCCAUAGAUCUUGGCCUUUUUCAAAGAGUAUCCAAGUAGAUAAACCAGCUUGUGCUGCAUUUGCCAGGCUAGAACACCUUUGACAUAACAGGGGAAAAAAUAUGCUUGUUCUAGAAAAAUCUAACCACUAAGUGUUGCAAGAUACAGUCGAAUUUUAGAAAAUGUUUCUGCAGGGCUUUUCUUCAGCUGUCGUUUGACCAAUUUACUACUUUGGAAAUUCUUCUCAAAGGAGAAUUCCUACAGCCUGUGUGGUGAAUUCUAAUGCAGAAGGAAAAACUAUACCACGUCAAGUGUCUAGGUGAGUGCUUUUGCUGUAAUGAGAAGAUGCCUUGUUUCUGCUGCAUAUGUGACACCUGCACAGCUGUUAAAGAGUUGCCUCUUGGCUCUUGAUUAUGCCUCAGGUAAAUGGUAAUUGUUCCUGUGUAUUCAGAGGCAGUCUGAGGUAGCAUAUCACCGUACUGCAAGGAAGCUUUAAGCCACCCAGCCCCCAAUUUAGAAAACAGUAGACAGUUUUUUUAUUUGUAUCUUAGGAUGUCUGAAGCUGUGCCAGAAGUACCUUGAAGACGUUUACCACUUUAUGAAUGGAAAUAAGUCUUUCCCAAGGUGUAUAGAUUGGUGCAUAUGUCUUGCAGAAAAUAAAACCCAAAGUCAAGAAGGAAAUAUUUCUGACUGCUCCCAUACAUACUUUUUUUCCCCCUGAGUUUUAUGUUUCUAGUUUGAUAUGCUGCAGUACCUUCUGACUGUUACUCUAAAUCUUACUGUAGAUUUCUGCUGCUGCUAUUCUGGAAAUGGGUAGCACUAUCUGACUGUUGAGGCUGCUAUCUGUCAAAUUACAGGCAUGCUGUCAGGAGUGUGGUUAUUUUGUUUAUUUUUUUUUUCCUAGCAUUUGCUUGGUCCAUGAAGAAUAUCUUCAGAUGCAUUAGCAAUGUGUGCCUUCAUCAGUGAUGCUGGUGAUGACCCACAGCUUCCUCUUAAUUGAGAUUUCUCUGUUGAAAGGAUAAGAAACAGAUACCAUAUCUUUGGCUGCUGAUUGUUGUCCUUGCUUUCUUUAGCACUGAUAUCCUCUCUAAGAGCAUAAACAUUACUUUGGAGCAUGUUUGGCUUUGAAAGCCAAAAUUUCUGGGUAUAUUGUCUGGAUUUCAUUCAGCUAAAUAAUUGUGGUUUUGAUGUCAAUGUAAUUCUUUCCAUGAUUACACAGUAAUAGUCUGUCAAUGUAUUCCUGCCAAAAUUUAGCAUGCUGUUUGCCUCUGAAGUUAAAUACUAUUAAAAUACUACAAGAUAAACAGUACAAAAGGGAUACAGAACUCUUCAAGCCUGCAUGCAAAAUGGUGUACUCUUCCAUCUUUUAGGUGCCUCUUUGAGGUCUCUCUGCUCCAUGGGCAUGCUUAAAAAGGUGUAGCUGAGAAGAUUCUUUGUGGUGCUGAUUUGACUGUUACUGGUCAAGCAUUGCUCUGCUGAAGACCAAACCUUUACAGCUUCUUGGCUAAAAAGUGGUUUUCUUCCCCUCAGUCUUUGCAAUGAUAUUGCAAUGAUACUGGAAGCUGUUCCAGAAUCUUGCUGGUCUUUGAAAAAGCAGUGGGGACUCUGUGGUUGUAGAUCUGCAGGCUCAGUAAAAUAUGUAAUUUUAUUUUUGAAGGCAAAAUAAAGUUGGAGAAUUGUUCUGAUAUGUGAAGGCAAGGAAGUUACUAAGAUUAAGUUAAACUUUGCUUUAUGCUCUUGCUCGUCCAUUUUAGGAAAAUAGUCAUACUUGCAGCUGAUCCGAGUCUGAAAAGUUGUGACUAUGUGGUUUUGCUUCAUGUGUUUAAUUUCUUGGGGUCACCUGAUAUAUAUUAAAUGUUUCUAUGUUCUUAUUGCAGCACUUUAAAGUUGAAUAUAUAGUGUAAUUGUUUAAGUCCUUUUUCUGCAUUUUUCAGUGAGAAGAGAAUUUUUUACUAAUCUGAGAGAUUUUCAUUAUUCAAGAAUAAGAAUCUUAAGACUGACUUUGUCUUCAAAAAUUACACUUGCUGUAUUUUCAUUGGUAUCAUCAUUGUGUUUUCACACUCUAUUUAUGCUGGAUCACAGUUGAUUCAUGUUAUAGAAGCCAUCUUUGUAGAAAUGCAUUAUUAUGCUGCUCUUUUUGAUUUGUGAAGUCUGGCUAGAAUUUCAAAUUAUUUUAUUGCCUGUAGCUUUACUUGUUUAAACAUUAGGAGAGAUCAGAUUAUUCUUAAAAUUUGAGAGUAACUCAAAUAGCGGAAUACUGAUUGCGAAUUCCUUUUUGACUGCAAUUCAGCUUUGUCACAUGCAAACUCUUAGUUUUCAUCAUAUUAAAGGAUCUUACAUCUGUCUGCUGUCUUGAUCAGUUAAGGACAGGUGCAACGCAGACUUGGCAAAUUGAAAGCAAAUUCAAGACUACAGAAAUUCCCUAGUGAUAUCAUGGUUUUGAUUUUGAUAAAUUGAGAGAACUGCAAAAUGAUGGUUUAAGUUAUCUUUAGAAGACAUGAAGGUGUGUGAAGCAGGAAAUAAGAAUGUACACAUGUAUUUGAAAUACAUUAACUGAUGGGGAAGCUGUGUAAUGGGUACCUGCAGUGGUGGAAAAGAGCUUACUCUUGAUAAUUGUUAUGUAGGCUGAGUUUCUCAGAAUUACUUGGUGUGGCUUCAAAAUGUGAUAGUGAACUUCCAUUAAUUAGUCGAAUCCAAUUCAUUUCCUUUAUACAAGUAGGUGUUGCUGGUGAUGGAUUCUGUCAUCUUAGCUGGGAACCUUCUUACUUAACUGUUUCAACACCUGAGCAGGUUGUCUAGGCAGCUGUUUCAGUGAGUGAGAGCCCAGGCUUGUUUAAGCAAAUGCAGGUGCCCUACUUAGGCUUAUAGCCAAUACAAUUCACAGCACCUGCAUUCCCUAUCUGCUCUGCUCAGUGUGAAAGGUGCUUAGGGUGGCUACCUGAUGGGACUUACACUUUUAUUGUCCUGAGUAGUACCUCAUCUUGCAAUGAAGAAACAUUUAUUUUAUACAAAGCACUUUACAGGAUAAACAAAGAUGAUAGAAUUUGGUUACUGGAAUUGUUUCUUCUAGUAAAAGCAUCUUGCACAGUAAAUGUGUUUAUAUGCAAAUAAAGAUAUGGGGUCUGAGUACUUUUACAGGUACUGUAAGGUUGCUGCUUUGGAGUUAAUUUGAAGAGGACCAGUGCUUCCAUCCUUGCUUGCCUCCUGAGCAUCAUCUGCAGAGCCUUUCUGUUCCUGAUCCUCUUUGUGUUUUGAGGAAUUGACCAGUGUGUUUGAUUUUUCAGUUUGCCUUAUCUCAGUAAUGUCUUAUGUUGCUUUCGUGUGUGUACUGUGACUUUGAUGUUAAACCAAGUUUCCAGGCAGAAAUUGAGUGGUUUUGCUUCCAAAAAGUUUUGUUACAGAGUUGGUUAUUGGUACUUGGGUGUAUAAGUGACUGUCCAUCCUCCCCUUGUAAAACCUCCCUGUAUUAACUCUACAAAUGUUGGCAACUGCUGCAUUGUCUCUGUGUGUUGAAGGGCAGGAUAGGGCCAGUUCAUAGCCCUGGAUGGUAAGAAAAUUGAAAGAGUGACCAAAAACAAAUGAAGAGCGAGUCUUUUGAGGGAAGUAAAGCCCACAUUCCUAGUGAGGGUCUGUUAUCUUGUGAGCCAUUCAGUAAGCUCAGUGAAAUGUCCCCAGUUUCAUCCACAUCAGUUCUUGACAUUUCAGUGCUGGUGGCUUUGAAGAAUUUUUUUUUCAAUUGCUUUCACAAAGAAAUAAUUUGAACUUAUGAGAGGGGCAUUUGCUAAUUAUUUGACUUUGUCUGUGUGUUCAGUUUUCCCUCUCAUCUGUUUGGGAAAGAUCAAGAAAUGGCAAGUUUAUAAAUCUACACAAUUUGUCAGAUGUAUUGCCUUUAAGUAUUUUGAGUUCCACGUGUUCUUCUGAUUGUGUCAAUAAGGAGGCUUUGUUUUAAUGUGAGAUAAAGAAAAAAAAUGUAGGAAAGGUCAGGAUGAAAAACUACUUUUUUCUAGCUUUACAGCAGGACUAUAUUUCCUUUGUCUCUAUGCUUAUGGAGGAAACAUAGCUCAUAAUUUGCAUAUGAAUGUGUGUGGGAAUCAGACUGUUAAAAUUCAGUGUUUAAUUAAACUAUUUUAUUAUUGCAACUAAGAGACAUUACUGCUUUUCCAUACUGAGGCAGUCAAGGAUGUUAGCCUUCUAAGCUAAUCUGUAAUGUUCUUUGUAAUUUAAAUUUAAUAGAAAAAUAGAAUAAAAUUCAGGCUGCUGGCAGUGCCUGAAGCAUCAAAACAUACUGUGAAGAAGUUUCUUUUGGGUUGUGGUCACAUUCUGUUUAGGGUUUAACUCUGGGUUUUUGGUUUUUUUUUUUUGUUUAAAAGAAGAUGCUAUUUUAUUGCAGGACCUUGAGUAAUACAUCCCCUAAGAUAUGUUUGAAAUACUGCAUUUUUCCUGCUUGUUUGGGUCAGAUGUGGGUCUUGUGUCAGUGUAAGUAGGGCUUUUAAUUUGUGAAUGCACAGGGCUAAUCAUUGCUUAUUUGGUUAUGGAUUGCUUGCUUGAGGAAUCUCAAAUGGUGCCUUUUGAAACAUAAAUCUGUUAAUGCCGUUCUGUGUUUAAGUUAAAGGUGGCCAAGUUACAAAGAUCUAUAGCUAUGAAAAGUGCAUUAACAGGCAGUUUCUUUGGAAUGCCUUUAAUUCUUGAAGAAUGUAUGCCAAAACAGAACAUCACAAAUUCUUAUUUCUGUUUCUUGUGCUCUACCAAUUUUCUGUCUUGCGGUAUUUAUCAAACUAUCUUUCAAGGUGUAGCCCUGUUUGGCAAUAAUUAUUUCCCAAAACAAUUUGCAGAUUCUGGAUCUUCCUAUUUGAAGAUUAUGUAUUAAAACACAGUUGGCUCUUGUGUUUCACCCAGUGAAAGCAGAAACUGUGCUCCUGUGGAUCCUGGCGCAAUAAGCUUGCCUCUACUGAAGGCCGUUUUUACAGCUGGGUGCUAAAGUCAUGGAAAUCAAACUGCUGACACAGCCUUAAUCACAGGGCCACAAGUAGCACUUCUUUGUUUUUGUGUGAUGGUUUCAUUGGUACUAUUAAUAGCUGGUUCCUUACAGGUGUUUGUGUAUAAUAAUUCUUACAAGACAACACUUGGUAAGUUUUCAAAUGAAUCAUGUUAAUUCCAGGAUUAAUUUUUGAAGAGAGACCUUUUGACUCUUUUUACUUUUGAGGUUUUUGGUCAUAAAAAUCCA